CCUACGGGAGGCAGCAGUGAGGAAUAUUGGUCAAUGGCCGGAAGGCUGAACCAGCCAAGUCGCGUGAGGGAGGAAGGCGCUGUGCGUUGUAGACCUCUUUUGUCGGGGGACAAAACGCCCGACUCGUCCGGUCCUGAGGGUACCCGGAGAAAAAGCAUCGGCAAACUCCGUGCCAGCAGCCGCGGUAAUACGGAGGAUGCGAGCGUUAUCCGGAUUCAUUGGGUUUAAAGGGUGCGCAGGCGGGCCUUUAAGCCGGCGGUGAAAUCGCGGGGCUCAACCCCGCCGUGCCGUUGGAACUGGGGGCCUUGAGUGCGGCGGAGGCAUGCGGAAUGCGCGGUGUAGCGGUGAAAUGCAUAGAUAUCGCGCAGAACCCCGAUUGCGAAGGCAGCGUGCCGUGCCGCAACUGACGCUGAGGCACGAAAGCGCGGGGAUCGAACAGGAUUAGAUACCCGUGUAGUC
rnacentral:rRNA from 1 species